UACAGAGACUGCAAGCGUUAUUCGGAUUCACUGGGCGUAAAGGGUGCGCAGCGGCCGAGUGUGUGAGGCGUGAAAGCCCGGGCUUAACCCCGGAUUGCACCUCAAACUACACGGCUAGAGCAUUGGAGAGGGUAGCAGAAUUCAUGGUGUAGCAGUGAAAUGCGUAGAUAUCAUGAGGAAUACCAGAGGCGAAGGCGGCUACCUGGACAAUUGCUGACGCUCAGGCACGAAAGCGUGGGGAGCAAAAGG
rnacentral:rRNA from 1 species